GGCGGUAUAGCUCAGCUGUCAGAGCGUCGGACCUAAAAUCCGGAGGACCCCAGAUCAAAACUGGGUAUCGCCG
rnacentral:tRNA from 1 species